rnacentral:lncRNA from 1 species
CAAAAAGGUCUAAGGUACUAAAAGUAGCUUCCGGUUGCACAAAUCUUCAUAACUAGAAAACGAUAUACAAUGUCAAUGUAAAUAAAGACAUGUGGACAUCAACGGAUUUAAACACUGGCACGUGCCUCUUCGAACAUCUGCGCAUGGUUGGUAAACAAACACAUCACGUGGUCUCAUCUGUCGUCUGCUUCGGUGGUCACUACACACACACGGGUACCAUAAUCUGACUAUGCCAUCUAUUCAUACUACUUUGUUGGGCGCC